UAAAGAGAGACCAAUUUUGAAAUGCUUGACAAAUUAUAAACAAACCAGGGUAGAUCUGUCCCAGUUAAUGAAUGGAACACUUCUGAGAAGAGACCAGAGAGAAUGGCAAGAUCCAGAUAAUGUGUUUCCGUCCAGGUGGAGGUAAGGAAUGAAGAUUCCUUAGUAAAAAUGAGAUGUCUGAGAAGAAUUUUAAUCACAGGAGUGAUGUGAUCAGAUUUGCAAAAAUCACUUGUGGUUUGUACAGAAUGGCCUGAAUAAUAGAAGAACUGAGGCCUAGAGACAAGUUAUGGCUGGUCAGUUACAUAAUGUGGAGAAAUGGAGAAGGGAUGAUAAUUUUUUUUCUUACAAAAUCCAUUGAUGUCACUUAAAAUUGUGAAAGAAAGCACUGGAGUGUUAAAAAUUAUUUGUGGUUAAAAAAAGAAGAAGAAAACAAAAAGGUAAUUGUGUAAGAAUUCCUUAGGUCUGAUAAACACCUAUACACGGAGUAAGGUUUUGAGGAGUUGGUAGGAAGAGAUAUGGCCUUAUACUUUAUAUCUUAUUAAAAGUAACUAAAUUUGAAAGAUCAAGUAUUAGAAGUAUAAACAUAUUUUUUGAAAUUGGAAUGAUAAGCAGAAAAAAAUUAUUGGCCUCUGGGCCAAAGUCUUUGCAGAUGAACUACAUUUUGGGUAGAGAUAUUCCUUUAAUAAAAGUGAUUUUAAUCAAAUAAAUUGAUAGGAAACUUUGCAUCACUUUGUCCCAUUAACUUAAUAAAAGCAAAGGAACUGGAUUCAUCAAAAUCUUAAGGUCAUGGAAAAUAGUCUCUACUUACAAUGUUGGGAACUACAUUUGAAAUUUAAGUAAUGUAUUUUCCCAGUAACUGGAACAACACAAAAUUGAUCUGAAUUUUGAAAGUUAAAGACACACAGUCCAACCUAUAACUAAAGAGAAAUUCUCUAUGUAGCAACCUAGACGUGAAAUUUCAAUAUCAACACAAAAACAUCAGGCUUCUGUGGUAGUGGUGAAGGAUGGAGAGUGGUGGUGUUUUGUAAUGGGAUAUUGGCACCACCUAGUGGAGAUUUUGUUCCUUUAAAUUAUGAAUCUCAAAGCUCACGUUAACUUCACUAACACUAAUGUUAAAAUAUUUUGCAAAAUCUUCUGAGGAAAAUCAAUGAAUAUUACAGCCUACACAGAUAUUUUAUUUUUUCACAAAAUGUAAUUUCACAGGAGUAUUUUUUUAAUGAAAUGUAAAACAUUUUUGCCUGAAUAUGUCUAUGGUAGGACUUGGUGCAGUUGGUUGUCUUCCCC
rnacentral:lncRNA from 1 species